AACGUAGGAGGCGAGCGUUAUCCGGAAUCACUGGGCGUAAAGGGCGUUUAGGUGGAAGGCCAAGUCCGACGUGAAAGCCCUGGGCUCAACCCCGGGAGGCCGUCGGAGACUGGUGUUCUAGAGGGCCGAAGAGGGGCGUGGAAUUCCCGGUGUAGUGGUGAAAUGCGUAGAGAUCGGGAGGAACACCCGUGGCGCAGGCGGCGCCCUGGUCGGUCACUGACACUGAAGCGCGAAAGCGUGGGGAGCGAACGGG
rnacentral:rRNA from 1 species